rnacentral:rRNA from 1 species
UACGUAGGGGGCAAGCGUUGUCCGGAUUUAUUGGGCGUAAAGAGCGUGUAGGCGGCCAGACAGGUCCGUUGUGAAAACUAGAGGCUUAACCUCUAGACGUCGAUGGAAACCGUCUGGCUAGAGUCCGGAAGAGGAGAAUGGAAUUCCUGGUGUAGCGGUGAAAUGCGCAGAUAUCAGGAAGAACGACCCGUGGCUAAGGCGGUUCUCUAGUACGGUACUGACGCUGAGACGCGAAAGCGUGGGGAGCGAACAGG